GCAGUCGUACAAGGUAACCCAGCUUGCUGCUUUGCUGACGAGUGGCGGAGGGAGAGUAAUGUCUGGGAAACUGCCUGAUGGAGGGGGAUAACUACUGGAAACGGUAGCUAAUACCGCAUAACGUCGCAAGACCAAAGAGGGGGACCUUCGGGCCUCUUGCCAUCGGAUGUGCCCAGAUGGGAUUAGCUAGUAGGUGGGGUAACGGCUCACCUAGGCGACGAUCCCUAGCUGGUCUGAGAGGAUGACCAGCCACACUGGAACUGAGACACGGUCCAGACUCCUACGGGAGGCAGCAGUGGGGAAUAUUGCACAAUGGGCGCAAGCCUGAUGCAGCCAUGCCGCGUGUAUGAAGAAGGCCUUCGGGUUGUAAAGUACUUUCAGCGGGGAGGAAGGGAGUAAAGUUAAUACCUUUGCUCAUUGACGUUACCCGCAGAAGAAGCACCGGCUAACUCCGUGCCAGCAGCCGCGGUAA
rnacentral:rRNA from 1 species